UACGUAGGGAGCGAGCGUUAUCCGGAUUUAUUGGGUGUAAAGGGUGCGUAGACGGGAAGUCAAGUUAGUUGUGAAAUCCCUCGGCUUAACUGAGGAACUGCAACUAAAACUGAUUUUCUUGAGUACUGGAGAGGAAAGUGGAAUUCCUAGUGUAGCGGUGAAAUGCGUAGAUAUUAGGAGGAACACCGGUGGCGAAGGCGACUUUCUGGACAGAAACUGACGUUGAGGCACGAAAGUGUGGGGAGCAAACAGGAUUAGAUACCCUGGUAGUCCACACCGUAAACGAUGGAUACUAGGUGUAGGGGAUAUUAAAAUUCUCUGUGCCGCCGCUAACGCAAUAAGUAUCCCACCUGGGGAGUACGGCCGCAAGGUUGAA
rnacentral:rRNA from 1 species